AAACCGCGAUAGGUAGUAUGAAUUGCAGAACUCAGCGAAUCAUCGAAUUCUUGAACGCACACUGCGCCUAGGAGUCCUCUCCUGGGCAUGUUUACUCGAGUGUCAGUAAUCAUUCUCGCUUCAAAAAAACUACUUGUAGUUUUGACUAAAAGCGGACUCUGAGGGUAGAAUGGAUAGGUAGCCAAUUUGGCUAACCAAGUUCUUCCCUUAAAAUGUAUUACCAAGACGCCAAUUUAGCCAAGGUUAACUUGGGUUUUAUCUUUGCCUCGACUUGAUAGGUUUCAUUACCUUUCUUUCACCGAGUGUUCCUAGUUAAAACCAUUCAACAAGGUAGCCAAUUUGGCUAGAUCUGUUUUGCAGAAUUUGUCAAAAAAAAUAGAGUUCCUCAAAAAAACUCUUUUUUUUUACUCAAAUUUUGACCUCGAGUAAGCAAGAUUACCCGCUAAACUUAAGC
rnacentral:misc_RNA from 1 species